rnacentral:rRNA from 1 species
GAUGAACGCUGGCGGCGUGCCUAAUACAUGCAAGUCGAGCGAACAGACGAGGAGCUUGCUCCUCUGACGUUAGCGGCGGACGGGUGAGUAACACGUGGAUAACCUACCUAUAAGACUGGGAUAACUUCGGGAAACCGGAGCUAAUACCGGAUAAUAUAUUUAACCGCAUGGUUCAAUAGUGAAAGACGGUUUUGCUGUCACUUAUAGAUGGAUCCGCGCCGCAUUAGCUAGUUGGUAAGGUAACGGCUUACCAAGGCAACGAUGCGUAGCCGACCUGAGAGGGUGAUCGGCCACACUGGAACUGAGACACGGUCCAGACUCCUACGGGAGGCAGCAGUAGGGAAUCUUCCGCAAUGGGCGAAAGCCUGACGGAGCAACGCCGCGUGAGUGAUGAAGGUCUUCGGAUCGUAAAACUCUGUUAUUAGGGAAGAACAAAUGUGUAAGUAACUAUGCACGUCUUGACGGUACCUAAUCAGAAAGCCACGGCUAACUACGU